rnacentral:lncRNA from 1 species
CUUGAGCGCAUCGAAAUCCAUCAGCACAUCCUCGCAUAUGUUCUUAGGAAUCAAAGGAACAGAGGAACCUCCAGGAAUGAUAGCAAGCAGGUUGUCCCAUCCACCCCUGACACCUCCACAAUGCCUCUCAAUCAGUUCCUUGAGAGGGAUACUCAUCUCCUCUUCAACGGUACAUGGCUUGUUCACAUGUCCCGAUAUACAAAACAGCUUCGUCCCAGAGUUAUUCUUCCUACCAAAACUCGAAAACCACUCAGGUCCACGCCUUAAAAUGGUAGGAGAAACAGCCACCGUUUCCACAUUGGUAACAGUUGUGGGACAACCGUACAAACCAGCAUUAGCAGGGAACGGAGGCUUCAACCUAGGCUUUCCUUGCUUCCCUUCGAGGCUUUCAAGAAGCGCAGUCUCUUCACCACAAAUGUACGCACCAGCUCCAAAGUGGAUGUAAACAUCAAAGUCAUACCCAGAACCACAAGCAUUCUUCCCCAAGAGACC